rnacentral:rRNA from 1 species
UAGGGAAUCUUCCGCAAUGGGCGAAAGCCUGACGGAGCAACGCCGCGUGAGUGAUGAAGGUCUUCGGAUCGUAAAACUCUGUUAUUAGGGAAGAACAAAUGUGUAAGUAACUAUGCACGUCUUGACGGUACCUAAUCAGAAAGCCACGGCUAACUACGUGCCAGCAGCCGCGGUAAUACGUAGGGGGCAAGCGUUAUCCGGAAUUAUUGGGCGUAAAGCGCGCGUAGGCGGUUUUUUAAGUCUGAUGUGAAAGCCCACGGCUCAACCGUGGAGGGUCAUUGGAAAAUGGAAAACUUGAGUGCAGAAGAGGAAAGGGAAAUUCCAUGUGUAGCGGUGAAAUGCGCAGAGAUAUGGAGGAGCACCAGGGGCGAAGGCGACGUUCUGGUCUGUAACUGACGCUGAUGGGCGAAAGCGUGGGGAUCAAACAGG